AGCUGGGUGGCUCAGUGUUAGAGUGCCAGGCUUAGAGCCAGGAAGCCUGGCCUCGGAGGCGCGCUAGCCGCGAGAACCUGCCCAGCCA
rnacentral:tRNA from 1 species